GUCUCCGUGGUCGAGUGGUAAGGGCACUUGCCUCUCACCCUGGAGUCCCGGAUUCGAUCCUCAGUGGAGGCG